rnacentral:rRNA from 1 species
UACGGAGGAUGCGAGCGUUAUCCGGAUUUAUUGGGUUUAAAGGGUGCGUAGGCGGAAGAGAAAGUCAGGGGUGAAAGUUUGCAGCUUAACUGUAAAAUUGCCUUUGAAACUUCUUUUCUUGAGUAUACAGGAGGCAGGCGGAAUGUGUUGUGUAGCGGUGAAAUGCAUAGAUAUGACACAGAACUCCGAUUGCGAAGGCAGCUUGCUAUAGUAUAACUGACGCUGAUGCACGAAAGCGUGGGUAUCAAAC